GAAUAUUGGACAAUGGGCGAAAGCCUGAUCCAGCAAUGCCGCGUGAGUGAUGAAGGCCUUAGGGUUGUAAAGCUCUUUUACCCGAGAUGAUAAUGACAGUAUCGGGAGAAUAAGCUCCGGCUAACUCCGUGCCAGCAGCCGCGGUAAUACGGAGGGAGCUAGCGUUGUUCGGAAUUACUGGGCGUAAAGCGCGCGUAGGCGGACUAUUAAGUCAGGGGUGAAAUCCCGGGGCUCAACCCCGGAACUGCCUCUGAUACUGGUAGUCUUGAGUUCGAGAGAGGUGAGUGGAAUUCCGAGUGUAGAGGUGAAAUUCGUAGAUAUUCGGAGGAACACCAGUGGCGAAGGCGGCUCACUGGCUCGAUACUGACGCUGAGGUGCGAAAGCGUGGGGAGCAAACAGG
rnacentral:rRNA from 1 species